UAAAAAAUAUAUUUUUUGUGAUGAAAUUCUGAGUUGACUUGCUGUCAUUUCUUUUAUUUUCACUGGUCCAUUUGUUACUUUGGUUAAUGCUGCAUGCGAGUCCGAAUUGUUUCGUGGACCCGGACAGUCCGGCACUUGCGCUUUCGCCACAGAGGCAAAGCGCACACGAUGCUUCUCCUUCAGGAUACGAUGCAUAUGGUGAAUAUUAUAUAUACAAACGCGCUCCCUCCAGAAUGUCUCAUUUUAGCGACAAGAACUUGAUUUGUUGUCAAAAGUGGAAUGCAAGUUGCUCUGCCCACUGAGAAGUUACUAUGGCAACCAGCAUCAGGGACGCCUCACGUCGUAGUACCGCGACCGGCGAGUAGCAGCGAUAAAAUCGAUGUAUCUUAACUUCCCCACAGGAAUCAAGAAAAUGCAUCAUCAACCAACAAAUCAGCACCAAGAUCGUUAAACACAAAUAUUUCGGAUUAAGCAUAUUUUAAAGUGUUUCUGGUGGAGUUUUCCCAGAUCACAGCAUUGUAUCAAAAAUGUAAACAGCUGGGUAUUUUUCUUUCAUUUCCCCCACAGUGUGCAUUAUUCCAUAUUCCAUAUUCCAUUAAGCUCACAAAUGUUGGAGUUCUUCUUAUGUUUGCAUGCAGUAGGACAGAAUACACUACACUAUACUCAAUAUAUUGGGAUUUGAUGCAUUUGUUUUAUUUGAUCAUGACAUGAUCGUGUGAGGUUCGAAUCCCGCCUCUGCCCUGUGUGCGUGGAGUUUGCAAGUUUCUCCCUGUGCGUCGGGGGUUUCCUCCGGGUACUCCGGUUUCCUCCCCAGUCCAAAGACAUGCGCUGUAGGCUGAUUGGCAUCUCUAAACUGUCCGUAGUGUGUGAUUGUGCCCUGCGAUGGGCUCGCACCCUGUACAGGGUACCCGGAGCUCCCUGAGAACCUGUGUAGGAUCAGCGGUACAGAAAAUGGAUGGAAUAGAAAGGAUCAUGUGAUCAAUGCCCUCUGAUUGAGAACAUCUGAUUUGAGGGUCAAACCGCUUACUACAAAUAAGUCACUUAUUUGUGUAAUCCAUCUGCAUACAGUAGCCUUUUGAGGUGUCAGUAUUCAGGGCUGAUUAACAAUUGUAGGAGUAUCUAACUAUUUGAUAGGCAAACACCACAAUGAUUAUCCAUGCAUUUGACCUAAUAAGCAAGAAUGCAUUUUCCCAAUCAAGCGACUUUAUCCAUGACUUGAGUUACGCUCAAAACAGCACUAGCAUAACGCAAGAGUUGAAUUAAUCGGUCGUAUUUGUUAACGCGGUAGUAUGCGCAUGUCUAACGCAGCCAUGACGACGAGUAAAAACGUUACAGCAGCUAACGUGUUGUUUAGCCAUAUUUAAUUCGGGAUGCUAGCACGCGGUUUGGGCCGAAAAAAAGCCCUCGGUUCCUGCAAUAUGGAGUGGUUUUGCCUCGUGGCGAGCGUUUGGCGGCGCUCUCCGUUAUUCUCCGGACUCUUCUCCGAGCGCCCCGCGGUGUCCGCGGCUCUACCAAGCCGGAGCGCGGCGGUCUUUAGGCGGCGCUCUUCACUUUUCUCCGUAGGUCUGUCGCACACAGGCGAGGCCUUCUUUCCCCUCCGCUCUCAAAAGAAUCUCUUACUUACCUCUCUCUCUCAUUCUCUCUCUCCGGUGUGUUACCGCUUGGACAAUCCCUCAUGCUGCGAACUCUCCAGCAUCUGCACGACCGUUAGAGCCUCUUCCACGCGGUUUUCUGCCGAAUGAAGAAAUCAACACGGACAAUUCGCGACUUUUUCUGAAAGAUUUGGGCGAUUAUAUAAACGCCGCGAGUGAGGGAUUGUAUCUUUUUUCUCUAGCCGUUGUCUUCCGCAGUGUGUGCAUGCUGACCCGCCCCUAGGGGUCACGUGCCGUUUUUCGGAGGCGCUGAUUGGACGUGGAAGCUGUCAGUAAAAAAAAACUUGUUCAGCGCAAACGGAAGACAGUUUGAGCUCCGUAUGUGAGCGCGAGUGUGUGUGUGAGAGAGAGCCGUUAUCACACUGCACCAUUACCGUGUCUGCAUCAGUUUCUUAAUGAAUAAACCUUCCAUUUCAAACUUGUGUAUGGGUUUUCAUCUGGUUUUAUAUAUAUAAAUAAGAUAUUCCCUAGAAAAUCAAUUAUACAUUUUUAAGGCUUAGAUGGCUACAUUGGAGAUCACUUGUAAGCAGACGUGACCUAGAGGAGUCAGACAUGUUCCGCCAUGUCUAUACUCCUGUUUUGAUCUGACUGGUUAAGCUUCCGAAGUAAAAAUAAAAAUCCAGAAGUAUGUUUGAAAAUAUGAUCCGGGGUUCAGAAUUUUUAUUCACUCCUCCUGAUCCUAAUAAUAAUAUUUCA
ensembl:lncRNA